UUUCAGUGAGGAUAACUUUGUCCAGUUCUGCUACUGAAUGAAAGUGAUGCUAUAUACGACUCUGAGAAA